rnacentral:rRNA from 1 species
AUUGAACGCUGGCGGCAUGCCUUACACAUGCAAGUCGAACGGCAGCACGGGUGCUUGCACCUGGUGGCGGGUGGCGAACGGGUGAGUAAUACAUCGGAACAUGUCCUGUAGUGGGGGAUAGCCCGGCGAAAGCCGGAUUAAUACCGCAUACGAUCUACGGAUGAAAGCGGGGGACCUUCGGGCCUCGCGCUAUAGGGUUGGCCGAUGGCUGAUUAGCUAGUUGGUGGGGUAAAGGCCUACCAAGGCGACGAUCAGUAGCUGGUCUGAGAGGACGACCAGCCACACUGGGACUGAGACACGGCCCAGACUCCUACGGGAGGCAGCAGUGGGGAAUUUUGGACAAUGGGCGAAAGCCUGAUCCAGCAAUGCCGCGUGUGUGAAGAAGGCCUUCGGGUUGUAAAGCACUUUUGUCCGGAAGGAAAUCCUUGGCUCUAAUACAGUCGGGGGAUGACGGUACCGGAAGAAUAAGCACCGGCUAACUACGUG